GACCGUCACUCGGCGGGCAGGUUCUGAUACUUCUUUAUCGACGCAACACGGUAGACCCGAUGGUAACACGUUGGGUUUAAUGCCACGCCCCCAAGCCAAAGGCCACGCCGCAAGGAAACCGGACUUUCGAAUCAUUAUAAACUAUGUUUAGAGAGUAUAAUGAAAUGGAGAAUUUGCUGUGUCACACCACGUGGCCAAAAUGUUCACUGGGUCUUACAUUAGUAAUUUAGUACGGUCUAAGGUUCAUAGCACCAGCGUCACUUGGCAGUGAGCGAACUCGAGUCGUCACCACGCCGUGGGUGCACGUCAUGAGUCAAUAAUGUCACAUUCAGUAACUCAGUAUCGUAAUUUCAUGUUUGCCUGGGGUGGAUAUCCACCCCAGUCUGUUCUUGGGUCAAAUUGAGCACAAAUUCGGUACGCAAGACGUGACCCAAGCACGGUGGAACCACUAGAACGCAGAUUAUGUACAGGGUGUCUACUGCUCUUUACGUAUCAUUAAAUCCUGGAAGUGUUACGGAAAUUAAAAAUUGCCCGUCAAUUCGUCGAUAAUUUCUGGAUUAAUUUGAUUUAUCCUGCAAAAUUUGAUAUAAUACAUUUUUGAUUGAAAACUGCGACAUUUCAUUUGUCCCACGCUGCCUUCGAUGUAUGAAAUUUCAGCAGAUUGACCAUGCGGUCGUUAACAAUUCACUCUGCAUAUAAACUACCAAAUAAAUUUUUUGAUUCAACACCUAACCUGCAACUUAUCUUGUCCUUAAAAAUUCAUAAGAAAUCGAAAUUUGAAGUCAUAGAAUUUUUCAAUAAAAAUUUUUGAUUGCAGUAGAGUAUGUGUCACGUACAGGUAGCGGCGUGGAUCCUGAAACAGGCGCUAUAAGCUAGUGUAUAGGUUAGGUUUACUCUGACUAUAGCUUGCCGUCUCAGAACCCAUACCGCAAAGGGUAUAAUACGUAAGUAAACAAAGUUUGAUCUGAAAAAGGCGGGGUCUCAUACAAGUUAUUAAAGCCCACGGAUUUGAAUUCGAUUACUUAUCAAUUUAAUCUUAAGUAAUUAGCAUUAAUUUCUUAACGAUGAUGAUAUAAUAAUAUAUUUGUAUAUUUAUGUAAUUGUAUUACCGUGAUAACAGUAUAUGAAUAAUAUAGCUGUAUAUGGGGAUAAUCAUAUUCCUUUUUUUUUCAUUUCCCUUUCUUUUUAUUCAGUUUUACUUUUUUAAUUUAUUUAUAUCAUCGUUUACCUUCCUCCAUUUUCCAUUCUUAUCAUCGAAGAAACAUUCGAUAGGAAAUGAUUCGGUAUAUAUUUAAUUUUAAUUUUUUUUUCCUUUCGGCAAACACUUUUUAAUCUUGGAUAAUUUUCUUGCUAUUAUACAUAUAUAAUCACCGUAAUGAUUUCAUGCAUAUUUAUUCUCCUGUAUGCAAGUAUGUGUAUGUAUAUACGUAUAUGUAUAUGUUCAUAAAA
rnacentral:lncRNA from 1 species